UACGUAGGGGGCAAGCGUUAUCCGGAAUUACUGGGUGUAAAGGGAGAGUAGGCGGCAUGGUAAGUUAGAUGUGAAAGCCCGGGGCUUAACCUCGGGAUUGCAUUUAAAACUAUCAAGCUAGAGUACAGGAGAGGUAAGUGGAAUUCCUAGUGUAGCGGUGAAAUGCGUAGAUAUUAGGAAGAACACCAGUGGCGAAGGCGACUUACUGGACUGAAACUGACGCUGAGGCUCGAAAGCGUGGGGAGCGAACAGG
rnacentral:rRNA from 1 species